rnacentral:rRNA from 1 species
AUUGAACGCUGGCGGCAGGCCUAACACAUGCAAGUCGAGCGGAUGAAGGGAGCUUGCUCCUGGAUUCAGCGGCGGACGGGCGAGUAAUGCCUAGGAAUCUGCCUGGUAGUGGGGGAUAACGUCCGGAAACGGGCGCUAAUACCGCAUACGUCCUGAGGGAGAAAGUGGGGGAUCUUCGGACCUCACGCUACCAGAUGAGCCUAGGUCGGAUUAGCUAGUUGGUGGGGUAAAGGCCUACCAAGGCGACGAUCCGUAACUGGUCUGAGAGGAUGAUCAGUCACACUGGAACUGAGACACGGUCCAGACUCCUACGGGAGGCAGCAGUGGGGAAUAUUGGACAAUGGGCGAAAGCCUGAUCCAGCCAUGCCGCGUGUGUGAAGAAGGUCUUCGGAUUGUAAAGCACUUUAAGUUGGGAGGAAGGGCAGUACGUUAAUACCUUGCUGUUUUGACGUUACCAACAGAAUAAGCACCGGCUAACUUCGUG